rnacentral:rRNA from 1 species
UACAGAGGUCUCAAGCGUUGUUCGGAUUCAUUGGGCGUAAAGGGUGCGUAGGUGGCGGGGCCAGUCAGGUGUGAAAUCCCGGGGCUUAACCCUGGAACUGCAUUUGAUACUGCCUUGCUGGAGAACUGGAGAGGAGACUGGAAUUUACGGUGUAGCAGUGAAAUGCGUAGAGAUCGUAAGGAAGACCAGUGGCGAAGGCGAGUCUCUGGACAGUUCCUGACACUGAGGCACGAAGGCCAGGGGAGCAAACGGG